UACGGGGGGGGCAAGCGUUGUUCGGAAUUACUGGGCGUAAAGGGCUCGUAGGCGGCCAACUAAGUCGGAUGUGAAAUCCCCAGGCUUAACCUGGGAACUGCAUCCGAUACUGGAUGGCUUGAAUCCGGGAGAGGGAUGCAGAAUUCCAGGUGUAGCGGUGAAAUGCGUAGAUAUCUGGAGGAAUACCGGUGGCGAAAGCGACUCUCUGGACGGCAACUGACGCUGAGGCACGAAAGCGUGGGGAGCAAACAGG
rnacentral:rRNA from 1 species